UUGUUUAAAUUUACUUAAACUCCGACGCAAAGAUGCAGUGUUUGAAGGCCUCCGGGGGCGCUCGCCGUCGGAACGGCAGGGUCGCCCCCGAAGCAACAAGUUGUGUUCACAAAGGGUUGGAGGUCGAGCCCGAAGGCCCUCACUCAGUAAUGAUCCCUCCGCAGGUUCACCUACGGAGA
rnacentral:misc_RNA from 1 species